UCAGGCAUAGUGAGCCUAUCUAGCCCAGCACAGGACAAGGAUGGGAAAAGAGGAGAGAAGAGAAGCUUCUUAAUGCUGCAGAAAUCCCGCAAUAAGAAGAAAUCAAGGGAAAGAGAAGUAGCUCUAAAGAAUUUUGCUCCCUUCACAAUCACCUUAAGGAGCAAAGCAAUGGCCAACCAGAAUAGGGUUAUGUGUGAGACAAAUGUAAACUCUACCAAAGGCUAUCUAAAAGUAUGUGCC